AUGUUGCAUGACGUAAUAGACUUCGCCGAAAAUUAUUGCGUGACGGAAAAUUAUGUAUACACUUACAGUUUUGAUUUUGAUUUAGAUUCUUUAGGUUUGUUCGGAGGGCAAGAGGAUAUCGCUUCUUCAUUAGUGUCAGAAGUUUCGACUCCUGAGAAAACAACUUUUCAACUACAACUACUUACUACAACUUUUUUAUCAAAACUUAUUCAAGGCUUUUUGUUUUCACAACCCACUCGACCAGCCACAUAGCUUUGAAGUUAAACAGUCGCAUGCUAAAGUGAGUCUUCACAAUAUUUUUGCUGAAUAGGUUUUACGUUGCUCAAAUGGAAAGAUUCAAAAUCGGUAAACUGUCUGCUUUUAAAAUUGUUUCAAGACCAUAAUUAAAAUUUGCACACAAAAAAAUUUUAGGUUACGAUAAAAAUUGUUGUUAAAAUCUACAUUAGUAGAAGUAAAGGAUUUACGAAGCUAAUAGAAUGACUAAUUUCAGAUUUACGAUGCUAUUUUAAUAAUAAACUUACUUCACUGGAUUUUGCUCUUGUAGACGGUUGCUGCGCCUCCUCUUCAUGAGUAUCUCUGUAAAACAGAACAGCUAAAAUAAAAACUGAACGAUAUAACCUAUAAAUAAAAUAUUAUACUGAAGAAAAUGCAAGAGGCGAAAAUAAAAGAAGAAAAUAUUUGAAAAUAAGGAUUCGGACUGUUAUUUUGCAAUAUACUAAAUUUGCAUACAAUUGUAGACUACAUUUUAUUAAUCUAAAUUUAAGGGACAGAAAAACUUCCAUUGAAAAAACAUGCAUUGAAAAUAGCUAAAAUUGGGCUAUGUAAGACUAUAAAUAGGAUACGGAGCUUGCUAAAUUCAAUAAUCAAAGAUGUGGCUGAAAGAGAAUUACUUUUCUCUGAAAUAUACAACUGAACUGAAAUAAAAUUGGAAAAAAUUCUUACCUCUGUUUAAAAACUGCUAUUCUUUUUUUCUGGAGAGGAAAAACCAAAAUCACCAGACACAGUAUUUAAUUGCAUGUUAUAAAUAACAAAAUGACGGAUUAACCUACCAGAGCAGCUGAGUGAAAAAACGAAAGAGAAAUCGGGUAUCACAACAUAUCACAGAUUAGAAAAAGAAAAUUUUACACUUCAUAUUCGAA
rnacentral:lncRNA from 1 species